GUGACUCCGGUGUCUUGCAGCGUGUAUUACACUUCCACCCUCACCGCUAACGCCAGCGCAAUCUACUUCCUCCUUCGUGCCGGGUGACGUCACCGCGUGGCGUUGGACGAUACCAAUGCGAGGCGCAUACAAAACACCCGUACAACUCAGCUCUCUGGUCAGACCAACAUUUUAUUGAUUUUGUACAGUACAGGAAGCUUCACGCUCUCUGGACAAGAUCCUUCUUAAUCCUCCUCGUCAUCAUCACCUCCUCCAGCUCCACCCUGACCCUUCUUGGCGUUCUUUCUCUUUACACGGCCUGGACGUCCACCACCAUAUGGGGACCUGAGGGAGAAGUCGAUGUGCUUCUGGCUGUCCAGGCGAACCACAAAGGAGGGGAUGUUUACCACCUGUUUGCGGACACUGUCAAGACAAAAAAAAAAAAGAGAUAAAUAUCAAAAUAAA